rnacentral:rRNA from 1 species
UACGUAGGGAGCGAGCGUUGUCCGGAUUCAUUGGGCGUAAAGGGUGCGUAGGUGGUUAGGUAAGUCCGAUGUGAAAUCUCCAGGCUCAACCUGGAAAUGGCAUUGGAUACUAUUUAGCUUGAGGAGUGGAGGGGGGACUGGAAUUCUCGGUGUAGCAGUGAAAUGCGUAGAUAUCGAGAGGAACACCAGUGGCGAAGGCGAGUCCCUGGACACUUCCUGACACUGAGGCACGAAAGCUAGGGGAGCAAACAGG